rnacentral:rRNA from 1 species
GUAGGGGUGCAAGCGUUAUCCGGAAUCAUUGGGCGUAAAGAGCUCGUAGGCGGUUCAGCAAGUCGGCUGUGAAAUCCCGAGGGCUUAACCUCGGAACUGCAGUCGAUACUGCUGUGACUAGAGUCCGGUAGAGGAGAAUGGAAUUCCCGGUGUAGCGGUGAAAUGCGCAGAUGUCGGGAGGAACACCAGUAGCGAAGGCGGUUCUCUGGGCCGGUACUGACGCUGAGGAGCGAAAGCGUGGGUAGCAAACAGGAUUAGAUACCCUGGUAGUCCACGCCGUAAACGUUGGACACUAGGUGUGGCGUUCCGACCAACGGGUGCCGUGCCGAAGCUAACGCAUUAAGUGUCCCGCCUGGGGAGUACGGCCGCAAGGCUA